AAAGAUAGUCACAUCCAAGAUUAGCAACUCCAUGAUAUUCUUCAUAAUUCCCCAUGUAUUAGAUGACUUCAAAGAUAGCCAUUAGACACAGGUUCAAAAUAACAACUUCAAUAUGUUGCAGAUGAACUCAAAUGGAUCUUCGAUACUUGUAUCAGAUAAAAGUUCACUUCACAAGCACUUGGUUUUCAUUUAAGUUGGCAUUGGCCAAGUCCUUUGCAUAGGGAGUGUUUCCUAAUUUUAAGUCCAAUGUCUCAGAGCAAACCAACAGUCCACAUAAAAUGUCUUUUAAGGUUUUUUGUUGUUAUUAUGUACAUUAAGGUCAAAA
rnacentral:lncRNA from 1 species